rnacentral:lncRNA from 1 species
ACGGGACACCUGCAUCUGCCAACAAGACUGGAAGCAGAAAGGGACAGAGACGGCGAAGUUUGACGGUCUGGAAAGCAGAGACCAGCAGGGCUGACUGCUUGGGAGCACCAAAUAUCCGGACAGCGCCUCUCGGGAGGUCCGAGAAGAGAACCGCGAUCUGUUUCAGCACCGGGGCUCAGGACAGUUCCCAGCGGGCUCCGUUUCGUCUCCAGAACCCUGGACAGCUCCUCCAGCUUGGAAUGCACUCCCUCCACCUCCAACCAGAGCUCCCCACAACUGACCCUGCCUUCUUCUGCAAGCUCCAUUUCAUCAAGGGAAACGAUCCUUAUUGCCUCACCAUUUCCCACGUGAAGUCUGUAUUGACAUUCUCAUAGACCUGGGAUAUUGUGUCUGCAGCACAUAGUCCAAUUAUUUUCAUGUUAUCUACUGACAGGUCUAUUUGUCUCCCUGUUACACUGUGAGCUCCGUGAGGGCAGAAACAAUGUUAGUAUUUUCACUGCUGUGUCCCCAGCGCCUGGUCCGGGGCCCGGCACACAGCAGGCAUAUAAUAAGCAUGUGUUGAAUCAAUA